rnacentral:rRNA from 1 species
AGUGGCGGACGGGUGAGUAACGCGUGAGAAUCUGCCUUGGGGUCGGGGACAACCACUGGAAACGGUGGCUAAUACCGGAUAAGCCGAUUGGUGAAAGAUUUAUUGCCCGAAGAGGAGCUCGCGUCUGAUUAGCUAGUUGGUGAGGUAAGAGCUCACCAAGGCAGCGAUCAGUAGCUGGUCUGAGAGGACGAUCAGCCACACUGGGACUGAGACACGGCCCAGACUCCUACGGGAGGCAGCAGUGGGGAAUUUUCCGCAAUGGGCGAAAGCCUGACGGAGCAAGACCGCGUGAGGGAGGAAGGCUCUUGGGUUGUAAACCUCUUUUCUCAGGGAAGAAGCUCUGACGGUACCUGAGGAAUCAGCCUCGGCUAACUCCGUGCCAGCAGCCGCGGUAAUACGGAGGAGGCAAGCGUUAUCCGGAAUUAUUGGGCGUAAAGCGUCCGCAGGUGGCGAUUCAAGUCUGCUGUCAAAGCACGGGGCUUAACUCCGUAAAGGCAGUGGAAACUGAAUAGCUAGAGUCCGUAGGGGUAGAGGGAAUUCCCGGUGUAGCGGUGAAAUGCGUAGAGAUCGGGAAGAACAUCGGUGGCGAAAGCGCUCUACUGGACGGCAACUGACACUCAGGGACGAAAGCUAGGGGAGCGAAUGGGAUUAGAUACCCC